rnacentral:rRNA from 1 species
GACGAACGCUGGCGGCGUGCCUAAUACAUGCAAGUCGAACGCAUUGAGAGAAGUGCUUGCACUUUUCAAUUUGAGUGGCGAACGGGUGAGUAACACGUGGGCAACCUACCUGAUAGCGGGGGAUAACGGGUGGAAACAUUCGCUAAUACCGCAUAACAAGAGAGAAGGAAUCUUCUUUAUUUAAAAGGCUCUUUCAAGCGUCACUGCCAGAUGGGCCCGCGGUGCAUUAGUUAGUUGGUGGGGUGAAGGCCUACCAAGACGAUGAUGCAUAGCCGAGUUGAGAGCAUGAUCGGCCACAUUGGGACUGAGACACGGCCCAAACUCCUACGGGAGGCUGCAGUAGGGAAUCUUCCACAAUGGACGAAAGUCUGAUGGAGCAACGCCGCGUGCGUGAUGAAGGCUUUCGGGUCGUAAAGCACUGUUGUAUGGGAAGAAAUGCUAGGCUAGGAAAUGAGCUUAGUUUGACGGUACCAUACCAGAAAGGGACGGCUAAAUACGUGCCAGCAGCCGCGGUAA